AACAUUAAAAAAUAAAUUAAUGUAAUUCAUUACAUCAACAGGCUAAAGAGGAAAAAUCACAUGAUCAUAUUUAAUUGAUGCAGAAAUUACAUUUGGAAAAAAAAUCCAACACCUAAUCAUAAAAUAUAUUUGAACUCUUCCAAAGAAAAAAAUCCAAACUUAAUUAUGUCUUCUGAAGCUGAUUUUUGUCAUAUAACACAUGAUAUAAUAAGUUGGAAUAUAAUAUCCUCUAUUUCACAAGAUUGCUGCAAAAAUACAAUGAGAUAUACUGGUUUAUAUAUCUUUAAAAGAGAUAAUAUGUAAAGUGUCU
rnacentral:lncRNA from 1 species